UGGGGAAUUUUUGGACAAUGGGCGAAAGCCUGAUCCAGCAAUGCCGCGUGUGUGAAGAAGGCCUUCGGGUUGUAAAGCACUUUUGUCCGGAAAGAAAUCCUUGGCUCUAAUACAGUCGGGGGAUGACGGUACCGGAAGAAUAAGCACCGGCUAACUACGUGCCAGCAGCCGCGGUAAUACGUAGGGUGCAAGCGUUAAUCGGAAUUACUGGGCGUAAAGCGUGCGCAGGCGGUUUGCUAAGACCGAUGUGAAAUCCCCGGGCUCAACCUGGGAACUGCAUUGGUGACUGGCAGGCUAGAGUAUGGCAGAGGGGGGUAGAAUUCCACGUGUAGCAGUGAAAUGCGUAGAGAUGUGGAGGAAUACCGAUGGCGAAGGCAGCCCCCUGGGCCAAUACUGACGCUCAUGCACGAAAGCGUGGGGAGCAAAACAGGAUUAGAUACCCUGGUAGUCCACGCCCUAAACGAUGUCAACUAGUUGUUGGGGAUUCAUUUCCUUAGUAACGUAGCUAACGCGUGAAGUUGACCGCCUGGGGAGUACGGUCGC
rnacentral:rRNA from 1 species